rnacentral:rRNA from 1 species
AUGGGCACCGCCGCGAAGCCCCCUCCCUUCGUCUGCUUCAAGUGGCCUUGGGGCCCUAGCCUUAAUGCGAGCCCUAGCGCCAGCCCAAGCCCCUGCGGCGACCUCGAGCGCCCCUGGCUCUCCAAGUCUAUCUCCACCGUCGCGCAAGGCCUCGUCAUCGCCGGUGACAUCCCCUCCGCUUCCACUGGAAGCGGAGGUCAUGGGGCGAGGUUGUGGAAGCGUUACCCGGGCACCGCGCCGGUGGAGGCGGACCGCGGGGACGCGGAGCAGCGGGCGCUGGCGGCGGCGCUGGCGAGCGCGAGGGCGACCACGGUGCUGGAGUUCUACUCGCCGCGCUGCCGCCUCUGCUCAUCGCUGCAGGGCCUCGUGCGCGAGCUCGAGGACGGUGGCAAUGCAUCUGCGAGCUUCGUGUUCGCUGACGCCGAGGACGACCGGUGGCUCCCGGAGCUUCUGCAUUAUGAUGUCAGAUAUGUUCCUUGUUUUGUGCUCCUGGACAAGAAUGGUAGAGCCCUAGCGAAAACCGGAGUUCCAACUAGCAGGCAGCAUGUUAUCGCCGGCCUUCAUCAUCUUCUUAACAUGAAGCAACCAUCUGGGCAGGACGGAAAGAAGAGUCGAUCAUGA